rnacentral:lncRNA from 1 species
CUUAGAUAACAGUAUCUAAUGCGCGUUUCCUGAGUUGUUUUACAGAUGCUAAAAUCCCCACCAAAUGGAAGAAAUUAGCUACUGGAUGACCACGAGCAGGUGGCCUCAAGGCUAGUGGAUUGAUAACAUUUGACCCCAGUGACAUCACUCUGUGUCCUCACCAUCAACCAAUCAGAGAAUUUAGCAUGAGCUCAUCACAUGCCCUGGGAAUCCCCUCCCUCACCUUGUACUUAAAAUGGCUUUGCUGAAGCCCAUUGACCAGUUCUGGCUUUUUGAGACAAACACUGCACUUUCCUUCAGCACAUCCCAGCAUCAGUAGGUUGGCUUUACUGCACGUGGCAAAUGGACACAAAUUUUGGUUUGGUACAGGGGGAAGGACUCAGUGAAUCAGUUGGGGAUGUGCAGAGAGCAUCCUGGAAGAAAAUGAUGCACUGGUCACAGACAUAGAUCUAUGGCCUCAUGGGGUACAGUCACUUUCUCUUCCAAACUCCCUGGAGCCUGGUUCUAGAAGGAGGAUCAGAAGAUGAUUAAAAGCUGGUGUCACUUGCUAAGGAGCUGUUACCAUACCAGGUUGUUUGCUUGAUGUAUGGGAAGCCAAAACCCUGAGAUGCUGAGUUUGCAGCAAAGAAAAGAUUUAUUUGCAAGAGAGCCAAGCGAGGAGACAAGAUGGGAAAACCAGUCGGGAACCAAGAUGACUCUGGAGGAGGAGCAAACUGCGGAGAGAAGAGUGGAGAGAUUUCUCAUUGGCUCAUCCAUGCCUUGGAUGAAGACACAAAAGGCAAGAAUAAUUUUUUAAUUUGAAUGCUCCUAAAAAGAGAGUGCAUUAUAAUACAACCCUAGCUAUGUUGAGAUCAAAAUCAACUUGCCCAGUAUAAAAGGCAAAAGGUAAAUAGAAAUGAAGACAUUGGGGCUGAGAAAUGCUGAGCAAUCAAAUAUAAGACUUAAUUUUGAGCUUCCUAGCAGCUAAGGCAAAAAGGGAAACAUGAAUUAUGUUGCUGUCGUGGACAAGUAGGAGACAUAUAUGUGUUCUUUAAGAGAGAAAUGUACAU